AGAAAAUUCGAGAGUUAUUAAUAUUAUCAAUAUCAAUUAUAGUUUUCUUAAAAUUUGUUAGCAACAAAUGAAAAAUUUGAACUCAUGUUCGAGAGAAUGGCUAUCUCGGAAAUUCAGGGCGAAGGUUCCAGAGGUUCCGGUUACGAUACUCACUACAGGUCGUCGCCAUGUACACGCUAGUAUCGUGGCAAGAUCCGGACGAAGGAGUAUCAGGAAGAAUGGAAAGGGGAAUGUCGGUCAGUAGGCCUUUCCUUGCAAUGACGGUACUCCGUUUAACGCCUUGGGGCUACCUAGGAAUGUUGGAAUAGCGUACAACUUUAUGUCUCUCCUUUUCUUUCUUAAAUCUUUUUUUCUUUUCUUCUUUGUACACUCCUACUUCUCUAAAUUAAUAAAAUUUAUCUGUAUACAGCUUACACUUCCUUUUGGAACAUUAUAAAAUAAAUUUGAUGUACAAGAUGCAACGUAAACUUACCGGUUGAUCGAACAUUGAUUAUGGAUAAGUUUCAUGGAAGUUUAUGGUUUAUAAUUUAUGUAAACAGCUAAAAGUUUCCGUUACGACCGGUUCCUCCAUGCAUUUCAAUAUUACCAUGCUUUGACACGACAAAAAAAAAAACGUCUAAAUACACAAGAGCGCCUUUUUAAUUCCAACGAGCUUCAAAGCGCUCUCGUUCCAGCUUUAUAUUUACCGCUCUCUCUGCAGGUGUUACAUAUUUUUCGCGCAGCCGGUAACGCGCAUAGGAAAAGAGGAAGCGCGUUCGAAAGAACGUUUACGCUUACUCGAACAGCACCGUUUCGUUUGAACGUUAACACGGAUGAGCCCAGGCCACUGAACGAGAGCAAUGGACGGUCGCGAAACGGCCACGGUGAAACGGGCGCGGUUCACUGCAUAUUUCCAUGCCGGUGUAGCCCAGGAUAUCGCGAGUACCGUAAAGGUGAAGAAGCGGGUCGUUGCCGGAUCGAAUUCCGCGCGUACCAGUCCACAGAACCACAUUAAUUUUCAACGUGCGCGCUAGAAUUACACCGGAUCCUUUCGUUCGGUGAGAAAAAUGGAAGGCAAUACUGCGGGAGUACCGUAAAGUUGGAAGGAGCAAUACGUUCUAGAAUCGAAUUCCGGACGUGUCUGUGCGAGCUACAUGAAUUUUUCCCAAGCUUCUUCCCGUUGAAUAUCGUACUGACUAUCUGACUGCUUAAAUAAAAGAAAAAAAAAUAAAAAUAAAAAAGGAAAAAUAAUAAGAUAAGAAGGAGAGAGAAGAGAAGAGAAAAGAAGGUAAGAGAGGUUAGGAAGGAUCCAUGAUUGUGACUUCUGACUACUUGAAUAAAAAAAGAUAGUAGGAAGUAGAGAGAGGACGAGAGAAGAAAUAGGAAGUAUCACAUUGUAGAGUAGAGAUUAGAAGGGAUACGGAUCUAUCGUUGUGAUACAAGAGGAAAUCGAGUGUUUGAAAGAUCGUUGAAUACGACUUCGUAAUUACGGAUGGUUUUGGGUCAUUUGAACGAUCGAUGACCCGUUUCAUCUACUAUUGAAAUGUUAUACGUUACACGGAUACACGUUUCAUGCCGGAGCUUUAUCCGGAGCAAAGCAAGAAUUUUAUUAUUUACCGCAAAGGAGGAGUUUCAGUCGGCGAAAUUUUAGAUGUGAACGAAUCCAACAGGAUCGACGGUUACCCGUGUUUCCUGGUGUUACGUCGGUGUCCAGAGACUGUGGCGUACGUCGACAGGGCCGUAGAAUUCUAGAAGGGGGUCAUCAUACGAGGCCGGCUCCGCCGAACGCACCGAGCCAGGACAGUAUACGAACGUCAUUCGGCGCGGACUGAACGGCGAAAGGCGCGUUACCUGCCGAGCGGUACCGCAAUUUCGAAUCCAAGUCUGCCUCUUUCGUUUCGUGUCUCUCUACGAAAGCAUUUCGUUCCAGGGGAAAUAGGGGUUGCGAUUCAGUGGAACGAUCAUCGUUCGACAUUUUUAUCGAACAAUCGUUCACGAUUUUCUGUCGUUUGCCAAGUGCGAGAAGAGGAA
rnacentral:lncRNA from 1 species